rnacentral:lncRNA from 1 species
AUCUUUAAGCCAUGGAGCACCGAACAAAGGAAUACUAGCACCAAAACCAAUUCUUCAUCUAGCACUUUGUUUAACCACCAAUUUCCAUCCAUGUUUUCCAAGCAUCGCCACAUUAAAAGAUGUGAGGCCUUUGAAUCCAAUACCACCAUAAUUCUUAUGAAUAGAUAAACGUUCCCAAGAUAGCCAAUGCAAACCUUUUUUAGUAGAGCCACCAUGUCCCCACCAGAAAGCAUCAAUAAUUUUUUCUAUGGUUUCUACUAACUUAUUUGGUAAAAGAUAAAGACUCAUAAUUAUAACCAAAAUAACAAACAACCAGAAAUAAAUAAAGUGCAAUACAGAAAAACACAAGAGAUAUUGAUAACUCAGUUCGAUGCAAAGUCACCUACUUUGGGGGCAUCCACCCAAGAAAGGAAAUCCAAUAGUAGUUCAUAAUACUACCCGUAUAUUUCUAUCUAGGACUAGGACUCCCCCUAAACAUGAGAAACCCCUCUCACUUUCUCUUAAUCACUCACCAUAGUGAUUGACUCGAUCACGGUUACAAUAAAGUAAGAGAACAAUUCCAGUACACAAAGCAACUCUUGCUAGAUGCAUGCAUUAUAGUGGUAAACAAACACAAAUUACAACUCAACUAAAACAAAUCAUCUCUAAGGCUUUGAUAAUCAAUGACAACACAUAGAGAGGCAUACAAAAGACAGAGACUCAAAACAAUGAAACCCUAUAACUGUAAUCUUUAAUGACGACUUCAAUACUUGUUAUUAGCGUUGAGUCUUCUUUAUAUAACCAUUGUUCUACAUGGAAUUUUUCUUCAAUGGGUUAAAACACUUCAGCUAUCCAAAACAUAUUUUUGUUGGAACAAAAUGAG